AGCGAACGCUGGCGGCAGGCCUAACACAUGCAAGUCGAACGAUCCUUCGGGAUAGUGGCGGACGGGUGAGUAACACGUGGGAACGUACCUUUAGGUUCGGGAUAACUCAGGGAAACUUGAGCUAAUACCGGAUAAGCCCUUUUGGGGAAAGAUUUAUCGCCUUUAGAGCGGCCCGCGUUAGAUUAGCUAGUUGGUGAGGUAAAGGCUCACCAAGGCUCCGAUCUAUAGCUGGUCUGAGAGGAUGAUCAGCCACACUGGGACUGAGACACGGCCCAGACUCCUACGGGAGGCAGCAGUGGUGAAUCUUGCGCAAUGGGCGAAAGCCUGACGCAGCCAUGCCGCGUGAAUGAUGAAGGUCUUAGGAUUGUAAAAUUCUUUUAGCAGGGACGAUAAUGACGGUACCUGCAGAAAAAGCCCCGGCUAACUUCGUGCCAGCCGCCGCAGUAAAAC
rnacentral:rRNA from 1 species